rnacentral:rRNA from 1 species
GAUGAACGCUAGCUGGAGGCCUAACACAUUCAAGCCGAGCGGUAGAGUUUCUUCGGAAACUUGAGAUCGGCGCACGUGUGCGUAACACGUUUUCAACCUACCUUUAUCUGGGGGAUAGCCUUUCGAAAGGACGAUUAAUACCCCCUAAUAUUAUUAUUGGCAUCAAUUAUUAUUGAAAACUCCGGUGGAUAGAGAUGGGCACGCGCAAGAUUAGAUAGUUGGUGAGGUAACGGCUCACCAAGUCAAUGAUCUUUAGGGGUCCUGAGAGGGAGAUCCCCCACACUGGUACGGAGACACAGACCAGAGUCCGACGGGAGGUAGGAGUGAGGAAUACUGGACAAUGGGUGAGAGCCUGAACCAGCCAACCCGGGUGAAGGAUGACGGUUCUAUGGAUUGUAAACUUCUGAUGUACAGGGAGAAACCGACCCUCGGGAGGGGAGAUGAAGGUACUGUACGAAUAAGCACCGGCUAGCACCGUG